rnacentral:rRNA from 1 species
UACGUAGGGCGCAAGCGUUGUCCGGAAUUAUUGGGCGUAAAGGGCUCGUAGGCGGUUUGUCACGUCGGGAGUGAAAACUCAGGGCUCAACCCUGAGCGUGCUUCCGAUACGGGCAGACUAGAGGUAUGCAGGGGAGAACGGAAGUUCCUGGUGUAGCGGUGGAAUGCGCAGAUAUCAGGAGGAACACCGGUGGCGAAGGCGGUUCUCUGGGCAUUACCUGACGCUGAGGAGCGAAAGCAUGGGGAGCGAACAGG